rnacentral:sRNA from 1 species
UUGACACCCUUGGAGACUGAAGUCCUGUAUCUAGCCACAGAAAAGGGGCAGUUGAAGCCCAAAGUAAUUUCCCUCCUCCCCCAAUGCUCCAGUAAGGAGUGUCACAUUUGACCCGGAGAGAUUCCUUCCGGGGUGAGAUGGUAUUUCAGUUUCCACAUCCAUUACAUCCUUGGCCUCU